rnacentral:rRNA from 1 species
GAUGAACGCUGGCGGCGUGCCUAAUACAUGCAAGUCGAGCGAACGGACGAGAAGCUUGCGUCUCUGAUGUUAUCGGCGGACGGGUGAGUAACACGUGGAUAACCUACCUAUAAGACUGGGAUAACUUCGGGAAACCGGAUCUAAUACCGGAUAAUAUUUUGAACCGCAUUGUUCAAGAGUGAAAGACGGUCGUUCUGUCACUUAUAGAUGGAUCCGCGCUGCAUUAGCUAGUUGGUAAGGUAACGGCUUACCAAGGCAACGAUGCAUAGCCGACCUGAGAGGGAGAUAGGCCACACGGGAACUGAGACAGGGUACCGACUCCUACGGGAGGAAGCAGUAGGGAAUCUUACGCAAUGGGCGAAAGCCUGACGGAGCAACGCCGCGUGAGUGAUGAAGGUCUUCGGAUCGUAAAACUCUGUUAUUAGGGAAGAACAUAUGUGUAAGUACCUGUGAACAUCUUGACGGUACCUAAUCAGAAAGCCACGGCUAACUACGUG